rnacentral:tRNA from 1 species
GUUUAUGUAGUUUAAAAUAAAACAUUACAUUUUCAAUGUAAAAUUAAAUACAUUUUUCAUAAAUU